GUCUCUGUGGCGCAAUUGGUUAGCGCGUUCGGUUGUUAACCGUAAAGGUUGGUGGUUCGAGCCCACCCAGGAACG
rnacentral:tRNA from 2 species